CACUGCCCCACUUCGUGUCAUUCCCCUGCUGUCCACAUAGACCCCUGUGGCGUUUGGUAUGGAGGUAGGGACCUACAGGGUGCACGGGUGGUUUUCCAUGCAAGGGAGCCACACCACAGUGGAGAUCAUCUCUGCAUUUGAAAAAUACACAUUGAAGAGCAGUCACCCUCUGGACCUGAAUGGACACAUGGAGACACACAGCAAGCCUGCUGCAAGUACAGCUGUCCCACCCCCUGCAAGUACUUUGCCUUUAAAAGAAAAGAAGGAUGCCACUCAUGCCAGCUCUCCCUAAGCAACAUUGGCACUGCUUCAUGUCCUGGUGCUUGUCUCAUUAAGGACAGAAUGAAGAGAGGCAAGCAUUGAGUGAGUGAGAGGCUGCUCUUUCUGGUGUCUGAGGUGGUGCCUCUAAGCUAUGUCUCAGCCGUGACAGUGGGAAACUUGCUGCUGGUGGCCACAGUCUUCCUCAGCUGGGGAGCAAUGUCCCACAGUCCACCUCACCCUGGCUUCAGGGCCAGUCCCAAUGUGGAGUGAUGCUGAUGCUUUGCCCUGCUUGAGCCCCUUGGACUGUAUUUUAGAGACUGCCCUGCUUGUGGCAAAAAUGCCUUUUGUGGGCCCUCACCUGCCUUCCUUUAUGUUCCCAGAGGAUGCACAGACUCAGUCUGGCGGUCUAACCCCAAGCAAGACACCGUCCUCACCCCUCAUCUCCACUGAGCACCCUUCACAGCUGCUCUCAGCAUUUGAUUUCUUGACUAGAAUUUAUAGUAUCACAGAAAUUGCUGUAUUAUUCCCUAAUAUUAUGAGCUGGAAUAGAUCAUCAUGGACAUACUUCAGAGGUAUGGCGAGAGGUGCCUGCACCAAAAGCUGUACAUGCUUUCCCUUUGAGAAGCUGGCCUUGUGCAUAGGGAACAGGUAUUUUCUCCAGAAUAACUAUGUAAAACAGUAUGAAACCUUGUGGGCAUGAGAGUUGAAAAAUAUAUGAACAAUUAAAAACUUACCCCUGUACUGGUGUUGCUUAUUCUAAUCUGUUGAAGAUAAAGCACUGAUGAGAUACUGGGACUCUGAAAUGGAGAUAUUUGAAGCCAGAAUAGGGAGAGCGUGAAAAGGGAAAGCUACAGGCAUGGUUAAAGGCUAUGUGACCAGCAGGUAUCAGGGGCUGGAGUCUGCUCUUGUUUAAACUCAUAUACUGCCAGCAGUGUCAAUUAAAUGAUG